rnacentral:pre_miRNA from 1 species
AAAAAGACAAACCUGGUUUCCAUGUCCAACGUUUAACCGUUCGUCUUAUUUAAAAAAAUUAUGAAAAAAAAUUAAAAAGAUAAGUCACGCAUAAAAUAUUAAUCAUGUUUUAUCAUCUAACAACAAUAAAAAAUACUAAUUAUAAAAAAAUUUCAUAUAAGACGGACAGUCAAAUGUUGGCACACACUUCUA